UAGGGAAUCUUCCACAAUGGACGAAAGUCUGAUGGAGCAACGCCGCGUGAGUGAAGAAGGUUUUCGGAUCGUAAAGCUCUGUUGUUGGUGAAGAAGGAUAGAGGCAGUAACUGGUCUUUAUUUGACGGUAAUCAACCAGAAAGUCACGGCUAACUACGUGCCAGCAGCCGCGGUAAUACGUAGGUGGCAAGCGUUGUCCGGAUUUAUUGGGCGUAAAGCGAGCGCAGGCGGAAUGAUAAGUCUGAUGUGAAAGCCCACGGCUCAACCGUGGAACUGCAUCGGAAACUGUCAUUCUUGAGUGCAGAAGAGGAGAGUGGAACUCCAUGUGUAGCGGUGGAAUGCGUAGAUAUAUGGAAGAACACCAGUGGCGAAGGCGGCUCUCUGGUCUGCAACCGACGCUGAGGCUCGAAAGCAUGGGUAGCGAACAGGAUUAGAUACCCUGGUAGUCCAUGCCGUAAACGAUGAGCGCUAGGUGUUGGGGGACUUUUUCGGUGCCUCAGUG
rnacentral:rRNA from 1 species